rnacentral:rRNA from 1 species
UGGUGGGUUGCCUUGUCAGGUUGAUUCCGGUAACGAACGAGACCUCAGCCUGCUAAAUAGUCACUGCUACCUCGGUAGUAGCUUGACUUCUUAGAGGGACUAUUGGCGUAUAGCCAAUGGAAGUGUGAGGCAAUAACA